GCUGGCGACAAUAGCAAGAGUGAACCACCUGAUCCCUUCCCGAACUCAGAAGUGAAACCUCUUAGCGCUGAUGGUAGUUUGGGGUUACCCAUGUGAGAGUAAGUCAUCGCCAGCU
rnacentral:rRNA from 1 species